GACGAACGCUGGCGGCGUGCCUAAUACAUGCAAGUUGAGCGCUGAAGGUUGGUACUUGUACCAACUGGAUGAGCAGCGAACGGGUGAGUAACGCGUGGGGAAUCUGCCUUUGAGCGGGGGACAACAUUUGGAAACGAAUGCUAAUACCGCAUAAAAACUUUAAACCAAAUUUUAAAUUUUGAAAAAUCCAUUUGAAUCACUCAAAGUUAAUCCCGCGUUGUAUUAGCUAGUUGGUGAGGUAAAGGCUCACCAAGGCGAUGAUACAUAGCCGACCUGAGAGGGUGAUCGGCCACAUUGGGACUGAGACACGGCCCAAACUCCUACGGGAGGCAGCAGUAGGGAAUCUUCGGCAAUGGACGAAAGUCUGACCGAGCAACGCCGCGUGAGUGAAGAAGGUUUUCGGAUCGUAAAACUCUGUUGGUAGAGAAGAACGUUGGUGAGAGUGGAAAGCUCAUCAAGUGACGGUAACUACCCAGAAAGGGACGGCUAACUACGUG
rnacentral:rRNA from 1 species